UGAUUUCGAACGCCGCGAUCUCAAGGGCCGAUCGAAAAGCCAGCCGUACGCGCUGGCUUAAAAGCGAUCAGAAAGCUUUAUUUCUAAAAAGCUGGUUACGCUGUCUUAACUUUUUUUCUGUUUCAAUGGUUUAGAAAAGUAUUUUGGCCCCUGAAGAAGGUACGGUCGCCUUUAUGCCUUUGAGUAUAACUGAGUAUAAUACGAUUCUCCCUUCAGCCUGGAGAAUUGCCCUCUUCCAAAAUGGCAAACGGGGGAAGGCAGGCAGAGAACAGUCAUAGAUGUUGGAAAAAAGAGGAUCAGUUGCUUUUUCCGUUUCCUUUCCACGCUUGCUGAAAAAGUAUGGAAACUGCAAUCCAAUACCUUUGAAGACAACAGGGGAGGCUGGUCCAAGAAUGCAUUCUUCAGUUAUAUAAUCAAGAAUAUAUCAUGAGAAAUCAUGGACUAGAAGACAGAAAAUGGAAUUAAAAUUACUGGGAAAAUCAUUAACAACUUCAGAUAUGCUGACGAUUCUUUGAAAGAUGUUUUAGAGAAUGUCUUGCUGAAAA